rnacentral:rRNA from 1 species
AUGUCCCAGCCAAUCACCCCUCGCCGCACCACCCGCGGUGCCGCCCCCGCUCCCGAUUCGCCGGCCUCCCCUCCCAAAUCCAGGCCCAAAUCCUCCCACCGACGCCAACUCCUCGCAGCCGCCGCCGAGCCAAACGAGAGCAAAUCCCUCGACGCGCUCCUCGAUGCGCUGCCAGGCCGCCGCGCGCAGGCGACGGACCUCCUCCGGCUCCUCGCGCCCGCCCCCGCGCUCCCUCUCCUGCUCCACGGCGGCGCCGCCACCGGCAAGACGCGCGCGCUCCUCCUCGCGCUGCGCCACCUCCGCCCCAGCCCGCGCCUCGUCUACGCCGCGCUCCGCUCCCACCCCUCCCCUCGCGCGCUCUUCGCCUCCAUCCUCUCCCAGCUCAACGCGCUCUCGUCCUCGAGCUCGUCGCGGCAGCGCGUCCCUGACAAGCCAUCCGACUUCAUCGCUGCGCUCCGCGACGCCCUCGCUGGCGCUGUUGCGCAGGGCGAGCUUGUUUAUCUGGUGUUCGACAACCUGGAGGUUGCCAGGGGCUGGGACAAGGGCGGCCAGCUCCUUUCCCUUCUCCUCCGCCUGCACGAUCUCCUCCGGUUACCGCAGGUCGUGCUCGUGUACGUGAGCAGCGCAACGCCUGACGCCUACUACACCAUGACUGGCUCUGUUGAGCCGAAUCAUGUUUACUUCCCGGAUUACACGGUGGAUGAGGCCCGCGACAUCCUGAUGCGGGGCCAAUCCAAUCCGAAGCUGUACUCAUCGUUCCUGGGUGUGGUGCUGAAGCCAUUAUUCCGGGUGACAAGGAGGCUUGAUGAGCUGGCAGCACUGCUGGAGCCGCUUUUCAGGAGGUACUGUGAGCCAUUGGGGGACUUGCAGGCGGUUCCUGAUGAGGCUAUGAGGAGGCGAUUGUUUGAGCAUUUGCAACCACAUUUGGCUGUGGCGUUGAAUGAGACAUUCAGUGUCCCCAUGAGAGCUUCAGUGGAGAAGUGCAAAGAUGACAGUUCUGGUGGAAAGGCUAGUGUUAAAAGGCAGUUUGGUGGUAGAGAUGGUCUCUCGAGUGAAUUGGAGUUCCACAUGUCCGUAUCAGCGAAAUACCUACUGUUAUCUGCUUUCUUGGCUUCAAGGAACCCUGCUACUCUAGAUGCGGCUUUGUUCGAUUCCACUGGAGGAUCCGAUACCCGUAACCGCAAGAGAAAGAGCUCCCAGGCCUCAAUAGACAGAAAGGAUACCAUGGCUGAAGAGAUACUUAUGAAAGGUCCUGGCACAUUUCCUCUUGAGAGGCUCUUGGCCAUAUUUCAGUGCAUCACAUCAGUAUCAGAAGAUGUGCUUGAUGAAGUUGAAUGCCCAGACAGUAUGAUGGCCGGAAGUGGAACGAAUGCUUUGAUGUCAGAUGUUCUGCUACAGUUGUCAACGCUGUGCAAUUCUAAUUUCCUCUCUAAAAGUCGGAGCUGCCCAUUAGAAGGCUCAGCUAGAUAUCGAUCCAACAUCGAUGAAGAUUUAGCUCUCAAGGUUGCCAGGAGUGUCGGUUUCCCUCUCUCAAAGUACAUGUACAGAAGAUAG